GAUGAACGCUGGCGGCGUGCUUAACACAUGCAAGUCGAACGGAAAGGCUCCUGCUUGCAGGGGUACUCGAGUGGCGAACGGGUGAGUAACACGUGGGUGAUCUGCCCUGCACUUCGGGAUAAGCCUGGGAAACUGGGUCUAAUACCGGAUAGGACGAUGGUUUGGAUGCCAUUGUGGAAAGUUUUUUCGGUGUGGGUUGAGCUCGCGGCCUAUCAGCUUGUUGGUGGGGUAAUGGCCUACCAAGGCGUCGACGGGUAGCCGGCCUGAGAAGGUGUACGGCCACAUUGGGACUGAGAUACGGCCCAGACUCCUACGGGAGGCAGCAGUGGGGAAUAUUGCACAAUGGGCGCAAGCCUGAUGCAGCGACGCCGCGUGGGGGAUGACGGCCUUCGGGUUGUAAACUCCUUUCGCUAGGGACGAAGCGCAAGUGACGGUACCUGGAGAAGAAGCACCGGCUAACUACGUG
rnacentral:rRNA from 1 species